GACGAACGCUGGCGGCGUGCUUAACACAUGCAAGUCGAACCGUGAACGAGGGAGCUUGCUCCCUCCGGCUCAGUGGCGAACGGGUGAGUAACACGUGAGCAAUCUGCCCCCAACUCUGGUAUAAGCUUUGGAAACGACGUCUAAUACCGGAUACGCCGCUGGAGGGCGUCCUCUCCUCGUGGAAAGAACUGCGGUUUGGGAUGGUCUCGCGGCUUAUCAUCUUGUUGGUGAGGUAUCGGCUCACCAAGGCGAGGACGGGUAGCCGGCCUGAGAGGGUGACCGGCCACACUGGGACUGAGAUACGGCCCAGACUCCUACGGGAGGCAGCAGUGGGGAAUAUUGCACAAUGGGCGGAAGCCUGAUGCAGCAACGCCGCGUGAGGGAUGACGGCCUUCGGGUUGUAAACCUCUUUUAGCAGGGAAGAAGCGAAAGUGACGGUACCUGCAGAAAAAGCACCGGCUAACUACGUG
rnacentral:rRNA from 1 species